rnacentral:rRNA from 1 species
UACGUAGGGGGCAAGCGUUAUCCGGAUUUACUGGGUGUAAAGGGAGCGUAGACGGCAGUGCAAGUCUGGAGUGAAAGGCGGGGGCUCAACCCCCGGACUGCUCUGGAAACUGUACGGCUGGAGUGCAGGAGAGGUAAGUGGAAUUCCUAGUGUAGCGGUGAAAUGCGUAGAUAUUAGGAGGAACACUAGUGGCGAAGGCGGCUUACUGGACUGUAACUGACGUUGAGGCUCGAAAGCGUGGGGAGCAAACAGG